UGAUGUUCCAGAACCCUGGGGAAACCGCUGGUGGUUCAGAGACAUUUAGCUUCUCUGAAAGUGAAGUGGAAAGUGUUCUUCUUGAGUGGGAUUUUAAUAGAAGGUCUGCAUGGGGAGGCAGGAGCAAGCAGGGUGAGACAGAAGCAGUCCACAUGAAUGCCUCAUCAAGCAGAGAACUGCGUGUUUAGGCUCCGAAGAGAAAGGUUCCAGCGCCUUUCAUCCUAUUCCCACGUCGCAAGAACUGUAGUCGGCAUUGUAAGAAAAGCUGUAGGAUAGAAAUGAUGCUGCUCCACGCAGACUGCAUUGGGUGUGGAGUGUGGCAACGGAGGACAUGAGAAACACACUGAGGAAGAACAAGAAAGUACAGAAGGUUGGAAGAGAAAAGUAGUAGUGGACUGGAAAAAAUGGGAGAGUGAAAAUGGAGGUAGAUUUGGUCAAGACACAUUAUGUACAUGUGUAAAACUCUCAAUAAAAAGAAAUGUGUCAA